UGUUCCAUUGAAUUCUCCCACUGUCAUAGUGCCAUCGCCACAAGUCCUUGUCUCGCUACCAACCAGAGAGAACCCUACGUCACAGCUGAAAUAAGCCUCCGUUUCAAAACUAAAGGUGCUGGCAGAGUCUCACAGGUAAUAGCUGCAUGUAGAAUUAAGGUCAUUCAUGCAUGCAGUGUAUAUAGUAUAUAGUGGCGUGGAAGAUGUUUUGACAAAUGGGGGCUAUAGUGAUUUGGAUUUGGAACUGUGUAUGCAUUGCCUAUAUUAAUGUAUAAUUAGCGAUCAGAACUUGAUAAUUACAUAUAUAUCCUUUACUGUCUUACGUUUGCACACUGGAGCCUCUGUAUCAAACACUCCCAUGGAGCUGCUGCCAUUGCCAACACACACACUGACUGGUUCACCAAUGAGAGCAAACCCAAAUGAGCAGCUAAAGUUUGCCUCCGCCCCAAAACUGAACGUAUCUAUUAAAACUUCCCGUAUACUGUAUUCAACAAUUCCAUUGUCCGGGGCUUCUAGUGCUGGGCAUCUUAUAGCUGUGCACAAAUAGAUCCGAAUUAUAGAUGGAGAGUACGAAAUGAUUGUCAUAAUAGCCGAAUAAUAAGUAUACAUGCAUACAGAUAAUUUUUAUGGCAUGACAUAAUUAUCUACAGGCACAUGCAGGUAUAUAGUAUGACAUGCACACAUCAUUGAUACCGUAUAGCGGGAAAUUUUGCGGGUGCAAAUUUUUGCUAUUUGGCUCAGCAGAAAUUUCCGUGGGUUCUAAUAUUCGCGAUUUAAUUUCAGGAAACCACACCCACCAAUAGCUUUGCAUGUGAAAUACCGGUGCGUGAGAGUGUAUCUCUGUUUUAAUUUUCACAUCAACUGUCUGCCCUCGAAAAACGCGAAAGUUUUCACCUCACGAAAUUUCCCGCUGUUUUACGAUUGUUUCGAGGCGAGUUAUUCUUGUAGCAGGUUUGGAUCCACAGUAGAGAUAGAAAAGUUAGAUACCAGAACCAUAGGUCGCCAGUUAUACUUAUGAGCCAAGCAUAAAUAGUAGUUUCUUGUGGGGUACUGAAUCGUACGGUGGCCGAGAAGCCUCCGCCUCCGCCUACCGCCACAAUGAACCUUGCGCGCUUCAAUUCUAAGCGCGCGGAUGUUUUGUUAACCGCACACGCUUAAUUCUAAACACUCGCGGUAAACACAUUAAGCGCGCGCGCGGUUGUUCCUGAUGUCCGCGUGCGGUAGGAGACACACAGCGCGCGGUUGAACUAGACUUCUACAAGCUACGUUUAUGAGUUUUUCCUGCUAUUUCUUAUAAUAUUAUAAGACUGAUAUCUUCUAAGUUUACGUAUAAAUACACAGUCCUUUAAUGUGUGACCACAAUGAGCUUUUAUGGUAUGAGGAUAGCAAUCGAAACCAUCUUCCAUAUAUAGUCCUACGUAGUCUACACCUACCAUUGCAGUGAGGUUCAGCACCAUUCCACUGUCCUACAGUGUUGACUACAUCGCCGAGACACACCCUCAGAACAUCACCUCGUUCCAGUCCCAGGCCAAGGUUGCAAGUGUACUUAGCCUCAGUGCCAAGCGGGAAAGGGGGUGGUUGGUUAAUGGAAUAUGUGAUUGUUCCGUUUUCAGGCUCAGAGAGUUCGGGACAUACCACCGUUUCAGCUGAAAGCAAAGUCAUACAUACAAGCAUUAGCUUAAAUGAUAAUUAAGAAAACUGUUGCUUCAAAAAUCAUACAAGUCAGUGCAUGAGACAACUAUAUAGCGAUCAUGCACACUCUCAACAUAUUUUUUAUGCUAGUAAAAACUCUGCUAGUAAAAACUCUACUGUGGACACGUAAUGCUCACCCUCAUUGUCAAUAAUAGUGAUAGUUGUGACAUCAGUGUCUCCCCCAGAUGAAAACUCUCCUCGAGUUGAGAGUAUAGAAGCAACCACAAUAAUUACCUCAUCAAUCUCAAUGGGUACAUCUUGAAGUAUAGAGACAUUUACAAAGAACUUGGUGCCUGGUCCAGAACCAGCCUCAAAGGUCAAUGUGGUUCCAAAGCUCAAGUAGUCUUCCCCAACUAUAAUUAUGUGAGAAUGAUAAAGCUAUGCUAUACACAUACGUAUAUUUAGUUUAAUCAAAACAUUUGCGUGUGCUGUGUACAGUUUUCAAACUGCAAGAUCUACGUCUGGUAAAUCAAUUUAUGGAGGUACGUACUUAUCUACAGUCGCACAAUCUAGUAUACAGUUGUGAGCAAUACAUGCAAUCAGAGACGUAUUGCGAAUACAAAAAUAACCUGCAAAAACACAAUGGCUGCACAUGUUUUAACAACAACAGUGAUACACGUAUACAGGAGUAUCACCUUAAAUAGUCAUUCAGUAUUAAUUCCUAUUAUGCUUACUGGUAGCAAGUCUGUUGACUGGAACGAAAAUUCCAAGCAAAUUUGCCAUCUGUGUUCCAUCUUGAACAAGCACGUGAAUUGGAAACGUGAGAGUUGAUUGGACUAGCUCAACAGACAGCUGCACAAUUGUAUCAUUCUCAUCCACUGUAAAGUUGGUCUCAGUCAACAGGAAAACAGGUACUAUAUAAAAAAGAAAUCAUUCAAAAGAGAAAAUAAUGUCCUUACAAAAAAAUACUGUUACAGUAUAAUUAUAUAGUUCAUAACCUAGUAACACUGGUACAGACAUAAACGAUUGACGUUCAAAUUUUAGCAGAUUGGAUUGUUAAGAUGGUGUAGCUAUACUUACAUGUUUGUGAAGUUAUUUGUUUUCAUGCCAGGAUUGUAAUUUAUAGCAUUGUUGUGAACCAAGGUACAAUAUACACACUUUUGUUCAUUACCAUCGACAUCCAUAAUAGUUCCCUCUACUAAGUCUUCUCCCACAGGGAAUGCCAAACGAGCCAGAGGCAUUGUGGUCAGCUGCAAUAUCAGAGUCUCAUUCUCCUCCUCCACCAGUAGGUCCCGCAGAAUGGUUACUUGAGCAGAAGAGGAGAUGCCAGGACCAGAACCAGUAUCAAAUGUUAGGAUGAGCGAAGCAGUAAAAUCUCCAUCUAAUAAAAGUGAUGGCCCAUGAUAAAAGUGCAUACUCACAUUUACAGACAAGGAUACUUCGUUCAUGUAUUUCAAGUAUCACUCUCUCCUCUCUUCCCCAUUUUCUCCCCAAUCUCUCCCAUUUCCUCAUUUAAAGUAUACUUAUGAUUGAUCGCUGCCGUGCAAAGCGAUAAAAGCUCAUUGAUUUGAUGUUAUGUUUAGAGUAUGUUAAAUACAUGUACGUAUAGCCUGGAGAUAAUCUUACCACUGAUUUUAGCUGUUCCAAUGUCAUUAAGGACAAUCUCCACUGGAAAGGGUAGAGUUCCCACAAGCAGUGACACAACAAUGGAUUCAGCGAGCGUACUAGCAGUCUCAGUGACUGUGAAUGAGCCUGGCGAAUUAGUGAUCUGGAACAUUACUGCAUAAACAAAACCACCACAGAAGGGGUAGAUCUGUUUUAUUUCUCACCGUCCUCGUCCAAGAUGAUGACAGUGGCCAUGAUAAAGGUUGUGUUAACAUUGGGAUCAGGUGAGUCAGCUGUCACAAUGAACAUCUCGUCAAACUCAAUCAGAUUGUCAUUAAAGACUUCUAUCUGGAUACACAUCAGAGAUCCUGGCCCGCCUUGAGCAGUGGCAUUGAAAAACAUUGAGGUGGUAUUCACAAAACUAUAGUCUUCUGGUUCUGGAAGAAAAAUAAUUGUACUGUAUACACGUAUAAUCUUAUAAACCGAGAGAUUAAAUUUAUGUUUUUAAAUCCAUGUUGCACAGCGUACAAAUUUUUCAUUCCAUACCUGUAGCAUUUCCGUCUACUGUGACCAGACUCACAACCACAUCUCUGGGUAAAAACCCCUCAGUGGCUAUUUCCAGACAAACUGUUACAUUCCCCACAUCCUCUCUCACCAGCAUUGACACCUCCACCAAGGCAUCAGCACCCGCGGUGCUUUCAUUAUAUAAGGAAAUUGAGAACAGGCGAGUCCACAUGCAGGAUAAGGUUACUUCACUCACCGCAUUGCACAGGCUGUAUGUUCUCAGUAAAACGUCUUAUUCGAUGAGAUCUUUCAAGAGUAUGUCUUGCAAACCGAGGAUUUCCUGUGGUAACAUUAUCUCCAAUAUCAUCGCCCUCUAUUCCGAGGCCGUCCAAGUCAAUGGGGGGUGGUUCCAACUCAUCGAGGGUUAGGGCCUCACCAUUACCCUCAAGUGCCAGCCUCGAAUGUGCAGCCAGGAGGAUACUAGUGACAUCUGCCUCGCGCGUAGCAGGGAUUACAGCCUGUCAGCAUGCAUGCAAGGUCCAUUGAAGAUUGUGACAGAAUCGUUAGUCAGCGGAGCGUCACGAAUGAAUUCCAGCUGGGUACCGUUGGUAUCCAUGACUACUAGCUUGUUGAUGGGAGAUGGCAAUCUUUUUUGGAGCAUUGGAGCAUUCAUUAUAUUAAUGUUAGAUUUUUCACCUGCGUAUGACUGCCAUGUUCAUCAUGUCAAGAAUAGUGACCACUCUGUUGACGUACGUGAUGCCACCAUUAAAAGGAACAUUAACCUCAUCCACGCUACAGGCCAGGGUUGUGGCAUCCUCCAAACUGAGAGUGCUUCUCUUCAUUCGCUUAACAUACUCCACUUGACGCCUAACUCUGGCAUU